UACGGAGGGUGCAAGCGUUAUCCGGAUUCACUGGGUUUAAAGGGUGCGUAGGCGGGUAGGUAAGUCAGUGGUGAAAUCUCAGAGCUUAACUCUGAAACUGCCAUUGAUACUAUCUAUCUUGAAUGUUCUGGAGGUGAGCGGAAUAUGUCAUGUAGCGGUGAAAUGCUUAGAUAUGACAUAGAACACCAAUUGCGUAGGCAGCUCACUACGGAAAUAUUGACGCUGAGGCACGAAAGCGUGAGGAUCAAAACAGG
rnacentral:rRNA from 1 species